AGCGAGAUACAGGGCACCAAAUGAAAAUUUCUCUUUCUCCCAAAGAAAACCACCUUGCUUGAAAUGUUCAAAACCAAUAAGAAAUACAUAACAACUUCCCAAAGUUUAACAUACAGAAUUUCACAUACAUUACAUCCAUAUACAUACUCAUAAAUUUCUUAUAACAGACAUGUUUACAUAUGUAUACAUAUACAUAUACCCAUCACCAUCAUGCACACCAUCCCAUCAUCAUCAUCACCAGCUCAUGCGCACUCCCUACUCGUACAUAACCGAGUCAUCCUCGGCUUAUGCGCACUCCCUACUCGCACAUAGCUGAGUCAAUGUCAUUGCACAACAAUAUAUUCAUAUAUAUAUAUCAACACAAUUUGGUAGUGCAUGAAUCAAUAAUAGUCACAUGUCACAACAUAAACUAUUUCUCAAGAGCUUGUUCCCAAGGCACUCAUUUUUAAGAAAAGUUGUAUAAAAUCAUUCAAACACUUUGCACAAAAUAGUUACAUUCCAAAAAUAGUUUUGAUAAGCAAUCCACUCACCAAUUUAUUGUUGAGCCUUUAGCUGACUCUAUUUCCCUUAAUGAUCCAAUUGGAAUGAUGGGACUUCAUUAGAACCUAGGUUCACAUUAGCAUAAGCAAUAGGUCAAUUCACACACUAUGAACCCUAAAAGCUAUCUCUUAGCUAGCUUUCAAUUGUCACAUUAAAUGGCUAUCUAUGUUCACUAUCUUAAUCACUAAAAAGUAAUGAACAUACUCAACAAUAAAACAGCUCAUACUCUCAAUUACUAGCCAUUAUUCACAGCUAAAAACCAAGCUUAAUUCAUCACUUACCCUAAGGCUCCUUUGUAGUUGAAUUCUCUUCCAAUAGCUUCCAUGCAAAUGGGGUAAUUCUCUCUCUCUCUCUCUCUCUCUCUCUCUCUCUCUAGAACGCCCAACUAGUGAGAGAAAGUAUGGAAAUAAGAUUUUUCAAGGGUUUUAAGGAAAGAGAGUGGAAGAAUUCAAGGGUUCUAGUCAUAAGGGCUCAAAGGUAUGAAAACUAGAGCUAGAGAGAGAAAAUCAUGCAAGUAAAUGGAGUAAACAAAUACAAUCUAAAAUAUCUAAAGCCGAGUAAAUGGAGACAGAUAAAAUAAUUUAAAAUACUGUAAUUCAUCACCUUUCAACCCAUUUCAAUCAAAUAAAAUCAAUUCAUAUAAAUCGAGUAAUCAACAUGGCUUAUGAAUUUCUUAAAACUUUGGCUCAUGCCAAAAUCAUUUUUAUACCCAAUUAUCAGGGAUGCCUUGAUUGAGGGCUAUCGCAACCGAGUCUGCCAAGGCUGGUAAAAAGUUAUGUACGCAUAAAUCAUGUUUUUAUUUUGCGAACACAGCCGUUCCUUGGUGUUGGCUAAGUUCACCCUCACGUGGUGGUUUGGCGUGAAGUGAACUCUAAAGUGUUAACCUCAGGAGUUAUCGAUCCGUGCCUCUCAUACUGAGGUAUGAAUAUGCACAAGUUUCGUGCCCCUCUAAUAGGAUGGUCCACAGAACCAGCCCACUACAGCAAGCUAAACCCACCAUACAAUAAAAUUUACAAUAGCAUGACAUGGAAAUUAUUUUAUUUUAUAGCUUCUCAAGGCAAAUUAACAUUUCAUACAUUUUCAACACAAAUACCAAUUCAGCCAUUCAUACAAAUAUUAUCAUAAGCCAUUCAAUUCAAACCAUGAUUUAUAACACAACAAUUAGUCUCCAAUUACUCUAUUUUCAAACCAUCAUUCAAUUUUAAAACAAUUUUAUGAAAUCAUUUCAUUAAAUCACAUUUUGUUUAUAAAAUCAAAAAAUUAAUCAUUUAAUUCGUUUACCAUAAAAUUCACAAAAUCGAAUAAAGCAUACUUUAAAUAAUUAAGAUGAUAGUAAGGUUACUCACUAUUUUGGGAGUCGAAUUCUAAGUACUUCGAUUCUUGAUUCCUCGGGUACUAUCUCUUUACUUUUGCCAGAAUGCUCACCACCUAGACAUAAUGCACAAUAAGCCAUUUACUACAUUGUGCUAAAUUAUUAUAAAACCAAUUCAGGCUUUAUACUAAUGUAUGAAAUGGGAUGCAAAUUGUUCGGAUUACCGUCUAAACACGGUAUUCUACACAAAUUGAUUUGGGUCCCUAAUUAAAUCGGCAUUGGCCUAAUUCGAUCUAUCACUCGAUUAAUUGGCCAAUAUGUCCAAUUCAACUCUAAUUAACUCCAUUUUUCUCCCAAUACUCAAAAUCAUUAAACACAAUUUAAAUAACUUGAAAUAUGGCAAAAUCAUCCUCACAUUUUCUCUUAAAAAAUUCAGCCAUGGUGGGUGCAUCAACACUAUAAUUUUUCCUACUUGAUUCUCACACCAUAAAUCACUAAUUCCUAAUCAAAUCACUUGAAAUAAAAUCAAAAUCAUCCUCAAUAUUCCACAUGGAGAAUUCGACCAAUGAUGGGUGAUGGGAGAACAUGAAUUUUUCUUACUUGAUUUUCAUGCUACACAUCACUAACUAACUAAAAACACUAAAAUAUCUUAAAAUCUAACUAAAUCAAGCAUCAAAACUUCUCUCUAAAUGUUCAGCCAACAAGAUACCCAUCAUGAAAUCAUGUGAUUCAACCAUGGAAAAUGCAAAAAAAUGAAUGGGAAAGGUAGAUCACAAGUCAAAAUCAAGAAAUUUUACCUUUGAUUGCUUGAUUACUUGAAUUUUCACACUUUACCCUUCAAUUUUUUGACCUAGGGUUUGUGUUCUUCUUUUCUUCCAUUAUUCUUC
rnacentral:lncRNA from 1 species